GAGUUUGAUCAUGGCUCAGAUUGAACGCUGGCGGCAUGCCUUACACAUGCAAGUCGAACGGCAGCACGGGGGCAACCCUGGUGGCGAGUGGCGAACGGGUGAGUAAUACAUCGGAACGUGUCCUGUAGUGGGGGAUAGCCCGGCGAAAGCCGGAUUAAUACCGCAUACGAUCUGUGGAUGAAAGCGGGGGAUCCUUCGGGACCUCGCGCUACAGGGGCGGCCGAUGGCAGAUUAGCUAGUUGGUGGGGUAAAGGCCUACCAAGGCGACGAUCUGUAGCUGGUCUGAGAGGACGACCAGCCACACUGGGACUGAGACACGGCCCAGACUCCUACGGGAGGCAGCAGUGGGGAAUUUUGGACAAUGGGCGAAAGCCUGAUCCAGCAAUGCCGCGUGUGUGAAGAAGGCCUUCGGGUUGUAAAGCACUUUUGUCCGGAAAGAAAACCUAGUGGUUAAUACCCGUGGGGGAUGACGGUACCGGAAGAAUAAGCACCGGCUAACUACGUGCCAGCAGCCGCGGUAAUACG
rnacentral:rRNA from 1 species